rnacentral:lncRNA from 1 species
UAGCAACGAUAAACAACCCUAAUGACAUGAUCAAUUGGAUGGCUCUUUAUGGUCUUUCGCCUCAUUGCCAGCUGCAUCUGCCUUUGGGGCAGUAGUUGGAACCAUGGGUGACGUCACCUUUGAUGGAAUUAUUUUAUUGGUUGGUGGGAUCUCACCAGAUGGUUCUUGUACAGUUGAUUUAACAACUUGAGUCACGACAUCUUUACAUGAUGGAAGUGGUGCGAGGUCAUCAAGAGAAAAGAUGAUACUUUGUGAUGGUUUUCGCUGAUGGCGAGGACCUUUGUGAGACAUGUUUAGGUAAAUACAAAGAUAAAGAAAGAU